rnacentral:rRNA from 1 species
CCUACGGGUGGCAGCAGUGAGGAAUAUUGGUCAAUGGGCGGAAGCCUGAACCAGCCAAGUAGCGUGCAGGAUGACGGCCCUACGGGUUGUAAACUGCUUUUAUACGGGAAUAACGCGCCUUACGUGUAGGGCUUUGCAUGUAACGUAUGAAUAAGGACCGGCUAAUUCCGUGCCAGCAGCCGCGGUAAUACGGAAGGUCCGGUCGUUAUCCGGGUUUAGUGGGGUUACAGGGAGCGUAGGCCGCAUGUCAAGCGUGCUGUGAAAUGUCCGGGCUCAACCCGGGCCUUGCAGCGCGAACUGGCGUGCUUGAGGCCGCGGAAGGCAGGCGGAAGUCGUCGUGUAGCGGUGAAAUGCUUAGAUAUGACGAAGAACCCCGAUUGCGAAGGCAGCUUGCUGCAGCGGAACUGACGCUGAUGCUCGAAAGCGCGGGUAUCGAACAGGAUUAGAUACCCUUGUAGUC